CAAAGCACACUAGUCUACUUCCAUCUCUCUCUCUCUCUCUGAGAGUCUGUGUUUCUUUGUUUCUGAAUUUGAAGGUUUCACGGAAUCGUUGUAUGAGCACGGGAACUCUCAAGAGGUGAUGCAUUCAUGUACUUGUAAUACUAUGUAUUAUGAAUCUUAAGGCGUUACUUUGGGAAAUAUACAAUAACAUGAACGAUUUAUAUAACCACAUGAAUUCAAGUAGCCAGGUCCUACUCCUAGCUAUUGAAUUAAUACUGAGCUCUUGAAUUUCUUUUUUCCUUUCUCCUAUCUGCUCCGAUUGUGGGCUCUCAAAAGUUUGUGGGUUUAGAGGGUCUUUCAUUGGGCUUUUAGUUUGUGGGGUGUACGGACAACUAUGUUGUUUUUGUGAAUUUUAAGGUUCACAGGUUGAUUCUGUUGUUUGGUUCGUUUUUUGGAUCUGGGUUUUAGUUUUAGCUUGUAUUUUUUUUUUUUGGUAAAUGUUGCAUCUUUGCUCUUGUGGUAUGGAAUAGGAGGUGAUGAAGUAAGUGGUAGUUUGACUUAGCUUGAGAAGAUACUUGUACUGCAGUCUGUGACUUUGGAGUUCCUGGUUAGUUUGGUUUUGUGAAGGGGUUUAAGAUUUUUGGGUUUUGAUUUUGAGGGGGAUAUGGUGGUGAAUUUGAUUAUCAUGGUGAUGGUGAUUCAUGGGUAGUAGCACAGUGAAGGAUGGCUCUCCUAUCAGACUGAAUAUUUUCUUAUAGUUUAGGCAUAUAUUUUAUUUCAAAUUCAUCAGAACAGUUAUGUGGGCGAAAGUGUGGGGGUUUCAAUUAAUGUUUGUGUGAUUAUAUGUGAACAGGUAAAAAAGAGUAAAACAAUUGCUAUCUUUGACUAUUUCCCUGGUCUACAAACACAAUUAUUUCGAUUCACUAUCCUAGUUAAAAUGUUUUAUCAGAUCAUCCUAGUGCUCAGGUGUCAUCUCACUAUUUAUGUAGGUGUACAUUUUCCUUUCUAGAUUAUUUCCUUUUCACAAUUGUCUUUUACAAAUUAAUUUGAGUUUAAAAUUUGGGUAUAAUAGUAGGUUAUAAUUGUGAUCAAAUAAUCGGUUGAUUGAUGAAUUCAGUCACGAGUAAUCAUUCAAUUCUAAUUGUCUUUACUGUAGUAAUUUUAUGAAACUGAAAAUUGUUUUUGAAAGUUUAAUUAUGCUUUGAACAUAUAUAGGCUCUUUAUGGAUGCGUGUUUUUGUGGAUGGAUUGUUGUAUUCUUAGAAUACUUUUAGCUUUUAGUACCUGCCUGAUGAAUGUGGAUUAAAAUACUUUUUAUGGUUCUUUUUUUUCUUUUCGGCAGUUUAUUACUGGUGAUUUUGAUGAUCUUAUUAUUUUCAGUGGCACAAAAGUAAACACCAUAGGUUCCUGAAUUUCAGAAUUCCGAACUUUUGAGCAAUCACUUGGAUUACACAUAGAUGUUGACCUAAGUAUAAAUCCACUAUACAAACAGAUGAAGUCAAGUAGCCAGGCCCUAAGUACAGAAGUUCAAUUUGCUACUUUAAAUAUGGGUAAUUAUUUCAAUUUCAUUAACAGUUACUUACUUCAAGUUCAAUAAAAUCAAUACUAAGCACUUCCAAGUCUUUUCUCCUUUCUCCUGCAUUGUGGAAUUUGGUCACUUGCAUCUUCAGAUAUAAAUCUAUCUGCUGCUAUAGUGGGCUCUCAGACAUUAUCACUACAAAAGAAGCACAGCUGAAUCUGGUUUCUACAUCUGGUGGCCAUCAUGAGAACUGGGGAGAGUCCACAGUGGCAGAAGCAAGCCCCAGGACUGAUACCUCAACAGAUGACAAUAAUGAAAGGCAUGAAAGGGGUCAAUUGGCUGCUGUUGUGGCUUCUGAUUCCAGUGAUAAAUCAAAAGAGAAAUCAGGGGAUCAAAAGCCAGCUUGCUCAAAAUUGUGAAGCAGCCGGAGAAAGCCGAUAGGAAAAAAAAAAUUUAGGCAUAUGUGAAACAACUUGAGAGUAGCCGCCUAAAGCUAACUCAACUAGAGCAAGAGCUCCAGCGAGCCCGCCAGCAGGAGCCUUUAACUGAGCAACAAUUGGUAGGCAUUUACAGCUUGCAGCAGUCAUUCCAACAGGCUGAAGAUGCUCUGUCACAAGGCAUGGAGGCAUUGCAACAACCCCUGGCAGAGGCAUUGGCCAAGGGCUCAGCUGGCUCAUCAGGAUCUUCUGGGAAUGUGGCAAACUAUAUAGGUCAAAUGGCCAUGGCCAUAGAAAGCUUGGAACACUUGAGGGAUUCCUUCACCAAGUAAUUUCCUAUUCUGGUUUGAUCCCACUUAUUUGUUUUCCUAGUAUGGUUCAAGCACUCAUUACUAGGAAGAAAUGAUGCUGAGAUGGAACUCAAUUUUGAAACAGGCUAGAUUUGAAGUGCUAGGAUAAUCCUUACACAUGAUAGAAUAUUUCUUCUUGGCAUUGCUUUAAAAUGCUUUAGCUACUUUGAUAUUGUCAGUAACAUGGUAGUAAAUCUGUAAGUCUAAUUGUUUUGAGGAAUGUAAGCCUCGCACAAUUAUAAAAUUUUAAUUUAUGUUCUUUGUCCAUAAUUAGCCAGUUUGUGUUCCCAUGGCAUUAGGAUUAUUGUUUCCAGAUCGCACUUUUCUGAAUGUUUUCAGAUAUUUGGAACAUGAGGACUAAACCAAAUGCUACAUGUAAAUGUUGUAUUUGUAUAUGUUCUUUAAAGCAUUAUGCAUUUAAUCUUGCUUGGGAAUUUUUAUGCAGGUUGGGGGGAGUCUUCAAAAAAAGAAAAAGAAAAAAAGGGUCUGGUUACUUUUCAUUAACUUCCCAUUAUUAUUAUUAUUAUUAUUAUUAUUAUUUUCUGCAAAAACUGUUCCCUUGCUAGGUGAAGCAAAUCAAACAUUUAAAAGGCUUAGUACUAGUUUUGAUGCAGCUUGUACAUAACUUGGGCUUCUUGUAACUGUAGAUGAGGCAGUUUUAUAUUUAUCAAAAAAAAAAAAAAAAAA